rnacentral:rRNA from 1 species
AGAGUUUGAUCCUGGCUCAGAAUGAACGCUGGCGGCGUGCUUUACACAUGCAAGUCGAGCGAGGCGUGUAGCAAUACACAGUCGAGCGGCGAACGGGUGAGUAACGCGUGGAUUAUCUGCCCUGAGGUGGGGGAUAACCCGGGGAAACUCGGGCUAAUACCGCAUAGGACCGUGAGGUCAAAGGGGGGUCGCAAGAUCUCUCGCCAUAGGAGGAGUCCGCGUUCGAUUAGCUAGUUGGUAGGGUAAUGGCCUACCAAGGCGACGAUCGAUAGCCGGCCUGAGAGGGUGAUCGGCCACACUGGAACUGAGACACGGUCCAGACUCCUACGGGAGGCAGCAGUGGGGAAUUUUGCGCAAUGGGCUAACGCCUGACGCAGCAACGCCGCGUGGAGGAUGAAGGUCCUUGGAUUGUAAACUCCUGUCAGCAGGGAAAAAGCAACCUGACCUCAUACGUCAGGGAGUUGAUUGUACCUGCAGAGGAAGCCCCGGCUAACUCUGUGCCAGCCGCCGCGGUAAUAC